CAUUUCUAGCUUGCUAGAAGAUGACGAGCGGCGGACGGGUGAGUAAUGCUUGGGAACAUGCCUUGAGGUGGGGGACAACCGUUGGAAACGACGGCUAAUACCGCAUAAUCUCUGUGGAGCAAAGAGGGCUUAGGCUCUCGCCUUUAGAUUGGCCCAAGUGGGAUUAGCUAGUUGGUGGGGUAAUGGCUCACCAAGGCGACGAUCCCUAGCUGGUUUGAGAGGAUGAUCAGCCACACUGGAACUGAGACACGGUCCAGACUCCUACGGGAGGCAGCAGUGGGGAAUAUUGCACAAUGGGCGCAAGCCUGAUGCAGCCAUGCCGCGUGUGUGAAGAAGGCCUUCGGGUUGUAAAGCACUUUCAGUCAGGAGGAAAGGUUAGUAGUUAAUACCUGCUAGCUGUGACGUUACUGACAGAAGAAGCACCGGCUAACUCCGUGCCAGCAGCCGCGGUAAUACGGAGGGUGCGAGCGUUAAUCGGAAUUACUGGGCGUAAAGCGUACGCACGCGGUUUGUUGAGCGAGAUGUGAAAGUCCCGGGCUCAUCCUGGUACAGCAUUUCUCACCUGGGCAAGCUAGAGUGUGAUAUAGGUUGUAGAAU
rnacentral:rRNA from 1 species